rnacentral:lncRNA from 1 species
UGUGAGGGGUAUAGGCUUUAUUUAAUGGGUAAAUAAACAUUUUGCAUGAAGCAGGACAUUCUUAACAGCAAUUCUGAAUCCAUCCCAACACUCUACUUUCCUGCCAGUAUAAAUGACCUCAUGUAACAUAAGCAAGUUAAGGCUGCAGGUUUACUCACAUCUAUUCAUUCCUACAGAUGGAACGUCUAUCACAUGUGUGUUUUCUGAUGUUGUGUAAGCCUUGAGCUACGGUUAAAAGCUUUGCCACAGUCGUUGCACUUGUAAGGCUUCUCUCCGGUAUGAAUCCUCUGGUGUAUGAUCAGAUGUGAGCGCCACCUGAAUAUCUUCUCACAGUCACCACACUGGUGCAGUUUCUUUAUGGUGUUAACCUUUUUACGGCUCACGAAGGUGGAACCUUCCAGGGUGUUCCCAUAUUCAUAGUACCAUUGGGCUCUAGUGUGUAUUCUCUGGUGUUCGAUAAGAUAAGAGCUCCGACUGAAGGCCUUUCCACAUUCGCUACACUCGUAGGGCUUCACUCCUGCAUGAAUUAUCUGGUGUUGGAAGAGGGUUGAGUUCUGACUGAAGGCUUUCCCACAUUCAGUGCACUUGUAGGGCCUCUCCCCGGUGUGCACCCUCUGGUGGAUGGUGAGCUGCAUGCUCAUACUGAAGGCCUUCCCACACUGGAGGCACUCAUAGGGCUUCUCUCCCUUGUGGAUCCUCUGAUGGUAGAUGAGGCUGGAGCUCUGGCUGAAUGCUUUCCCACAGUCGUGGCACACGUAGGGCUUCUCUCCAGUGUGGAUCCGCUGAUGCUGGAUGAGGUGUGAGCCCUGAACAAAGCCUUUCCCACACUCGUCACAUUUGAAUGGCUUUUCUCCAGUGUGAGUUCUCUGGUGGCGAAUGAGUCGUGAGCUACACCCGAAGGCUUUUGUGCACUUAUUGCAUUUAUAAGGCUUCUCUCCAGUGUGAAUCAGCUGGUGCUGGCUCAGGCGAGAGAUCCACCGGAAAGCCUUCCCGCACUCGUUGCACUUAAAGGGCUUUUCCACAGUGUGACUUGUCUGAUGCACAACAAGGCUUGGGCUCUCUGAGGCUCUGAGCAUCUGAGAUCUCUCCCCGGCGUGCAUCCUCUGGUGCUGAGCAAGAGUUGAGCUCUGGCUGAAGGCCUUGCCACACUCCUUGCACAAGUAGGGUCUCUCUCCGGUGUGAGUUCUCUGGUGUCUGACUAGUUGAGACUGCUGGCUGAAAGCCUUCCCACACUCCCGGCAGCCAUAGGGCCUCUCUCCUGUGUGGAUCCUCUGAUGAUGGAUGAGGCUGGAGCUCUGACCGAACGCUUUCCCACAUUCCUCACACCUGUAUGGUUUCUCUCCAGUAUGAAUUCUCUGAUGCUGAAUAAGUUUUGAGCUCAGGCGGAAGGCUUUUCCACAUUCCACACACUUGAAUGGUUUCUCCCCAGUGUGGAUUCUCUGGUGUUGAUUAAGCUGUGAACACAGCCUGAAGACUUUUCCACACUCCUCACACUCGUAUGGCUUCUCGCCACAGCAGUUACUUGAAAGUUUCCCCUGAAAGCAGCCAGACAAUUGUUUUUGGCAUUCUUGACAGCAGUUAGGCUUCUCUUGUACACUAAUUUCCUGGUAUGGAGCCAGAUCUGGAGUGUGUCCAAAGUCUCUGCCGCACACCUGGCAUUGCUGUGACAUCCCUUGAGCACCAGCUCUCUGACCUUUACCAGGCUGACAGCUGAGGCCACUGGCCCCCAGCUCCUUGGAUUCCUGUGUAGUGUCCUUGGUGAAGGUUUUGGGAGCCAGGGUCCCCUGAAUCAAACACUGUUUCUGGAGAAGGGAGCCCCUUUCUCUCAGCACAGGGCUGCUUGGAAGUCUCUCUGACCAGACCUCAGAAUUGGAAGUGUCUGCAGAGCCAGGACCCUGAGGCUUCAGAAGGUCCAUGUCCCCCUGCUCAUGUGCAAGCCUAACAGUAGAAUCUGAAAUAAACAGGAAAUGAAAAUACUCUAUAUGUACUGAGCUCACAGAAAGGACAAAGACUGAAGUAGUGGGGAAGGCCAGCCCUUCCUAGGAUGGGCUGCAUGGAGCACUGCUACACACCCCAAGGGGAGAUGUAUGCGAGAAGAUGUACUUGGAGAGGCCUCAUACUUGGCUUCAUUGAUGCUUUUUGGUCCACAGUGGUGAAGUGCUCCUCUCUGCUAGGCAGAAUGCUGGGAGUUGCAUGACCUAAGAGGAGUUUGUGAGAAGAGGUACAUCCCAGGGGCACUGUGAAGAAUGCAAAACGGGACUGGACAAAGCCAGCCUGAAGGUGGAAAGUUUGCCAACAAGGAUUCUCAGACGGAGUCGGAGGCCCCCAGCAUCCCAGCUGGUAAAUGGGAAGGUAGAAAAGGGUCUGACCUAUGAAUAAGGGAAUGGGCAGGAAUGGGAGACUGAGGCUCUAGAGCUGCAGGGGGGUUACCCAGGGAGCUCAGAAGAGGGCAGAGUGCCUGGGCUGCCCAUGGCUACUCUCUGCUCCCUCCAGCUGCCACUUAUUUGCACCUGACACUCCUUGCUAGGCUGGAAGCUGAGUGGUCACACCCAGCAGACCACACUGACUUCCCUUUCCCUGUGACAGGUUUCUGGAGGGUCCAACCCAUCAGUCGCCCAGGAAGCCUUCCUGACAUCUGCUUUCCUCCUGGACUUUCCUUCAGACUCCUGUCCUACUCCAAAAUCCCAGAGAGCACCUCUGUUGAAACCACACUUCUCCAUGAUCAUAAUCACACAGUCACAGUCACAGUUACAAUCAGCCUGGUUCCACCCACGGCAAAUUCACAACCCAGUCAGGGCUUCAGCCUCACAGCUCUGUUCACUCCUAACCAUUAGUGGCUGGGUUUCCAGCUUCCAGUGAUUUCCAUGUCUUCCAGAAAGGGGUCCCACCUACCUAACUCUUCUGCAUGAUGGGAACAGAUCCCAGUGGUUCCUAAUUGGUCUUCCACAACCCAGUGAGGUUGGCAGAAGCCUCACUCACGGGAGGCAGACUGGCUCAGAGCUGAGCAGCUUGCACAAGGCCAUGAUGAUGAGGACAGCAUUUGGAGCCUUGAGGAAGCCUUCUCCCACCCCAGCCUCACAGAAAAGCUGCUCCCUGGGCAGGGCUUGCUCAUCCCUCCUCCAAAGCCUUCCUCUGCCUGGAGGUGAGAAAGCAGGACACUAAGACUCCCAGCAAGUACUGCUCCUGCUCUUCCCCCUGCCAGAAACUCAAGAGGACCAAAAGAGAGUGAGAUGCAUCCCUGGUAAGGUUAAGGCCUGGUGGAAAUGCCCAGGUCUUGGGCUACCCAGAACCAAGCAGCUCACAGUCACUUGCAACCACCAACCAAAGGACCAGGACAUCAUAGACAACCUGGCUAUGCUCAUAUUUUCCACGCUCUGGGUCCCUGUGUAUACAUCCAAAAGAGGCUUGGUGUACAUUUCCCAGUUCUGCCCUGACCCUGCACAACACCAGGCCAUGGUCCCACCUUGUCCUGCUGCCCAGCCUCCUGAAGCCUCCUCUCUCGGCAGCCUCUGACCUCCUUGCCUGGCCCAUUUCUCUCUGACUCUAUUUAACACUGACAGCUCCUGCAUAGUACCCCUGUAACUGAAGCUCAAGGUCCUCUCCCCUUCCCUGGAACAUGAAGGUCCUUCUCCAGCAAACUCUGGGCAAUCCCUGGGAAAAGGCAAGCACUGUGAAAAAGCAAAGCCUCUUUGGAAGAGGGAACACAUGUCCUCCCAGAGCAAAGGCACAGCAGUGCCUGACUUAUGACUCUCGUCACUAUCUGGGAACAAGGAGCUAGGAGUCACACAUUGGGGGGCUCUGGUGGUAGGCAAGGGCAUGGGGAGGGACUGCUGCAGAUCCACCCUCUGUUCCCUCUAGUCCCCUUCAAUAUCUGAUGCCAGCUGUGACCAGUCGGGGACAAAGAACUUGCCUGAGCAUUUCCUUUACUCCAUGCCUCUGGUUGUGUGCUCCUGUAUACCGUACUCUAGGGCCCACAAUCUUGUCCUGAGACCACUAUGGGUUACCCUGUGUUUGCUUCAUCCCCUUAUGGGUACAACUUGCUGCACAUAAACCUAUCAAGCUGUCGUACUCUGCCCACUGCAGCUGGCUUUUCUGCCACAUUGUGCUCUCCACAACCUUCCUCCACCAUGCAGGCACCUUACUCGGAGGCUUGGUUUUAACUGGCCACCCUCCAGCUUUGUCUCCUCCCCGGGGAGGAUCAGAAGGAACCUUUGCAGGAGGGGCAGAGGGGAACAUGGAAAUAGGUUGCUGCACCCAUAGUAAUUUAACAUGAGGAUGUCAGGCGGCCCCUAAUCCAAUAACAAUGGUGUUCUUAUAAGGAACUGGCUACAUAGGACAGACAAACAAUAAGAAGGCUGCCAAGUGAAGGAGGCAGGGUCUGGAAUGGCACAUCUACAAGCCAAGGAACACCAACAACUGCAUGAAGUCCCCAAUCCUGGAAAAGGUAACAAGGGCCAAGCCCUGCAGACUUCUGGGCUCCACAGUGAGACAUUUGUUGUUGAUUUGUGUUACUUUGCUGCAGCAGCUGCAGGAGGCCAGUGCACCAGGGUCUGAUCUGAGGGCUUGGUUCCCCAGGCCCCAAGAAGUUCCAGAGACAGCAGCAGGGGCAAUUUGUUUGAGUAGAGGAAGUGGAAAGCAAAGUUUAAUGCUUCCUCAGAUCCACAGAUUUGUGCCUUUCUCGAUAGGUAUAUUAGUAAAAUUAGAAACUGAACAAAAUGUGUACAAUUUCAAAAAACAAACUUUUUACUGAAUGCACAGGUGUUUUGUGUUCUUGCCAUUACAGGGAAGUCCCAGACCUGUUGUGCUUCCUUCCACCCCUGUCCUUGCCUAUGCCACCCCCAGCAGCCCAGUCAAGCCCUUGGGAUUCACCCCAACCUCCCACUUCUCUAGUUCCCACUUUUGGGAAGGCUACUCCUUCCCAAAGGCUCUCUGCUACAGGACCUAUACCUCACCUGUCUGGGAGGUCCACGGUGCUUCUGUCCCCUCAACUCCCUGCAGGUCGAUAACCCAUGGCUCUUGUCCCUGUUCCAACCGAGAGAUCAGCUCAGGUUUGAAGACCAGGAAUCCUGCUGUGUGUGGUCAGAGAAGGAGAUGCUAGGAGCAUGGCUAGUGCUUGACAUCCCCCCAAAAUAAAAAGGGCGAGUUGCCCUCCAGAUAUUAGCACAUACUAGCCAGAAGCGAUGAUGCACCUUCAGCCCCAGUCACUUGGGAGGCUGAAGUGUUCCAAAAACCAAAGCAACGAAACAGAAACAAACCAAGCAGGAAGCUGGCCCACAGACUCUCAGAAAAGAAUAGCGCAGAAAUACACUACUUCAUAUUUUAAGACCAUCAACAGGAAAAGGAGGUUGUCAGCAAAUCAUGUUGGGGAAAUGUUUCAAUGCUCAGACAAAAAUAAAACAGGAUUUUUCCUUAACUCCAACACAAUGGUGAAGCCUUGAUAUUAAUAAGGAAGAUAAGCUAUAAAAUUCACAGGAGAAAAUGUAGGCCAUUUCAAAAAGUUUGAAGUAGGGAAUAACUAAUAAAACCUCAAAGGCAUAAGCUAUAAGACAAAACCCAAAGUACAUUAUGUGAAAAUGUGACAAGGCUGGGAAUGCAGCUCAGUGGCAGAAUGCUCACCUAGCAGGCAUGAAGCCCUGGCAGGCUCAAUCCCCAGUACUGAAAAAAACAAAAAACAAAAAACUAACCAGCGUUACCAAACAUGAGAGAAGGGUAAAGGUACAAUGUGAAUCGGUGUGGUGUUCACCCUUGAUAUACUGUAAGAUAGACUUUGUAUAAAAUGCUUUCACACCUCUAAACCUCAGGGACAUCUUAGAAUUGAAAUCAGAAGUCUUCCAGCAACUGGUAAUAGAUGUGACAUGCCACUGCUGCCCACACAAGCUGCAUUAUCUGCUCUGUACACUGUCUUCAAAAAAUUUAUUCUGGCCAGUCAUAGUGGCACAUGGCUGCAAUCCCAUCGACUCAGGAGGCUGAGGCAGACAGAUCACAAGUUUGAGGCCAACCUCAGAAACUUAGGUGAAGCCCUCAGCAACUUAGUGAGAUUCUGUCUCAAAAAAUAAAAAGGGCUGGGGAUAUAGCUCAGCUGUAAAGUGCCAUGCAUUCAAUCUCCAGUACCAAAAAAGAAAAACAAACAUUAAUUUAGUAGCUUAAGAAAAAAGAGGCUUUAUUAACUCUCAGAAUUUCACCUACCCAGUGAGGGCCGAGUCACCUGAUAUGUGCAAAGUCUGGAACCAGCCUAGCACAGGUUUGAGGCCCCUAUUUGGCCCAAGACAGUCUGAGCACUCAGCCUCCCCCACAUCUGAUGCAGGCCUGGCUGGCUGUGUGGGUGCUGACUGACUGUGCAAGGGAGGGGGACCAAGGUGCCACCUCACCUAGUCCGGCCACGCUGCUGUGGUUCUCCAGCAUCACCUCCCUGUAGAGGGCCUUCUGGCCAGAGUCCAAACACUGCCACUCCUCCCGGGAGAAGUGCACAGCCACGUCACCAAAUGUCACCGCCUCCUGAAAGGACAAAUACCAGCACCCCAGGGAUCCCUGGGUGCCAGCCCCAUUCUUGCACGGCAUCACAGCAUAUCUCAGGCAGGUGUACCAAGGGGUUGGGCAAGAGUUGCCCAGCUCCUUCCUCCAAAAUCCGAGGAAAGGGAAGUUUAAGAGGAGAGGAGGGACCUGGCUCUUGGUAACCAUAUGACCCUCCCUCUCACAAGCCUCAGAUAGGCCGAUCUGGCAGAGGUUUGCUCACUGCCUUUGGGGUGCCAAGGGGGGUGCCUGAGUCUGGCAAGAGCCAGUGAGGGCUGAGGGUGGGUCUGGGUCUGCAUCCAGGCCCAGGAAGCAGGGUAGAUGCCCAAAGUAGGAGGUAGAGGCUUCCCAGAGCAAGUGUGGGAAUGGAGGCAGCCAAGCUUCCUACCAUGAGGCUUGAUGGAUGGUGUCCACUGGUCUUGGCUGGGACACCUGCAGGGAAUUAUGAAAGGGUUAGAGGUCAGGGUGGUAGAAGCUCCUUAACGCCUAAGAAAAUCAAGGC